rnacentral:rRNA from 1 species
UACGUAUGGGGCAAGCGUUGUUCGGAUUCACUGGGCGUAAAGGGCGUGUAGGCGGUGUAGUAAGUCGGAUGUGAAAUCUCCGGGCUCAACCCGGAAACUGCAUUCGAAACUGCUAUGCUAGAGUACCGGAGAGGGAGACGGAAUUCCUGGUGUAGGGGUGAAAUCUGUAGAUAUCAGGAGGAACACCGGUGGCGAAGGCGGUCUCCUGGCCGGAUACUGACGCUGAGGCGCGAAAGCUAGGGGAGCAAACAGGAUUAGAUACCCCCGUA